UAAUAAGUGUUUUAUGGCACUUUUUAAAUCCAUAUCCACCUUGUGUGCAAUGUCAGGGUUGGUCUCUCUUGAAAAAAAGAGAUCAGCCCAAACAUCAACCUUAUCUUUUAACUCUUUGUCUGAAAAAUAUUAUGAAUAAACAAUUCAAAAUA
rnacentral:misc_RNA from 1 species